GGGUUGCUUCGUUGAGCAAAGCGGUGUAGACAAAAGGAAAAUCCGGGCCCCGCCGAGGUCAGGAGCAAAACUGAGUUGCUGGCUCGGCGAAUCAGGCAGGCGGGGCGGCUCACACCCGUGAAAACGCCAGGAUCGCGGCUUUUUAAUGUUUCAAAGGAUGAGAGGCAUAACUCGAUGUAUUUGGUGUCAGAGCUAGUCAUCCCUUGUUCUGGUACUCCUGGUUCUGUUGCAGGUUUCAAACGUGUAGCCUUUUGAAUUGUAGGACUUUUCCGGGCACCGGAAUUAAUCAUUCCUUACGGCUUUUGGGUUCUUAAAAGCUAUGCUGAAAAUAUUCGGUGCUGGCCAGCUCAUAGGCACGUCCUUGUUUAAUGCACCACUUGGUGCUGUGCAUGUGUGAAAAGCCAAAUGACAACCCCAUGUUCCUGUUUUAGUUUAGUAAUUUGUGUAUGUAGAACUGUAAGUACAACAGGCAAAUAAGUUAAGACUCCUACCGUUCCCCCACUGGGACCAGUGGCUUUCUCCCGUGAACUGUGCUUACAAGAUGUAAAGCACAGCAAUGGCAAAAUAACAUUGUGGUAGGCCGGGUUUUAAUGUUAUGUUUUCAGAGAGGGUGUUAAUUACUCCAGCCCUAUGGCACUUUCAAGUCAAUGGUAAUGUCCUUGUUGACUUCACAGAUGAUUGGGUUUAGUCCCUGUCAGUAACAGUUUUACAGGUGUUUGCAUAUUUUUAUCAUCUAAAUAAACAAUUUUAAUCUCUUAAAAAUCAAUAGAAGUUUCUUUCUGGGGUCAGAUUUUGUCUUACAAAGGAGAAAAAUUAUCAUUAUGGAGACCUUUUGUUUCCAUAUAGUUGUCCACAGAAACAAAACAGUAUCUGUUUUUUAACUAGAAAAUGUAAUUUACAUAGUUUGGCAUUUUCAGAAUGUGAAAUCAUGUCUUCUCCCAUGUUGUCGACAGGACACAGAGUUGAGCGCUGGCAUAAAAUUAUCAGGUGGGAAGACUAUAUAAACUGUGGCCUUUCUGAUUGAAAGAGUCUGAUAUAAAUAGCAUUUUUAGGGUCUGAUUCUGUGAUCACAAGUCUUUCAUUAUAGUUUAAAUAAAUAAAUGUAUAAUCACAUGAAUUAGGAUCUACAGUUUAAGUUCUUAGUCAGAGCAGAGUCACAGUGGAAAACAGUCAUUUAAAGCUGGAGUAAAAAGUUAUGUAUCUUGUUACCAGCCACUUGAGCAUUAACUAGUUCCAAAUAAGUUGGCCAUAAAGUAAGAAUAAUCCUGCAUUCUGAAGCUUCUUGGUGUCCUCUGUUAAGGUAGUCAUAACUUCCCUUUACUUCUGCCUUGCAUUUGAUUUUGUAUGCAAUCACGUGCAUUGCCUGAUAAACACAUUCUCACAUGUAUCCUCUGCACGCUCUGCAUGAAUAGAUUUCAAGUUUGUUGAGGGCCUCUGAAGAGGUGCCAGCAUUCUGUGAAGAGCUACUCGUAAGGCAGGGGUAUGUGCAUAAACCUGCACAUUUGUAAAAACUAGAUUAGAAGCAGAUACUAAGGAAAACUCAGGGUUUUUAAGAAUUUGGAUUGUUUAUGUGGUUGGAUCAGCAGAUGGCAAAUAUGACUCAGUAUAAACGUUACAUAAUUCUUCUUGGGAAAAUAAAAUCUCAAGACGGUGCUCUAAUUCAAAAGGUCAUCCAGAAAGCUGUUGAAGAACAGUACAGAGAAUGGGGAGAGAAAUAUCAAUGGAGCAGAUGCAUGCAGUAGCCAGCAAAUUCAGGAAGAUUUUAUGAAUGUAGCGAGGCUCAAAACAUACCCAAGCAAAUCCGUCGGCCCAGUGCCCAACAAAACGGCGAAGGCCAAACAAGGAUUUAGUUUGAUUAGCAAAUAGAGCAGAAAGCAGCUGUUCUAUCAAUUUGAAAAGUAAUUUUAAGCAGCACUAUUUAAUGGAAGGGUUAAAUAUGGAUAAAUUCUAAGGGCUGCUGAAGCGAAGAAUUCAGAACAUGGGUUGGUCUCUUUCCAGAGAUGAAAUUGAUAGUGGACUCUAGUAAGGGGAAAAAAAAAAAGCCCCAAACCAAAAAACAUACCUAGACUGAGUUGAAUGUAAAUGUUCUAACCUAUUAGAUCAUGUGGACUCCUUUGUGUUUUUAAAUGUCUUAUGCUCUUUGUUCCUGGUAAUGUGAGGACAACACUGUGGAGUGUUAAAAUUAUACGUACGAUAAAUAUGUUAACUAGAUGUAGAAAGUAGAAACAUGGACUUAUUUGCAGCAGUUACAGAUGAGGAAAAUAAUUUUUGAAACAGACAAGAGAUCUUUCAAAACAUUGUAUGCUUUUUGAGCAGUGCUGUUCCAUACCCCAGCAGAAUUUUGAUUCUGUCAUUUUAGUAUUUGUGAAGACAUUUUAAGUUAUGACCAAUGCAGCUGUCAGUGUCUAAGUGGCAUCACACCUUCAAUCUCAAAAUUUCUCUUAACACAACAUAUGCCUUACCUUCUGUUUUCUUCCAUUUUCUAAAAUACCAGAGAAAGCAGUUAGCCUACCUAGAAAUUCUUUAACUGGUUUGUCAUUUGGAAGGACUGGUAUUGACUGUAAUAAGCAAGGGCUUUCCUUAGUGUUUUUACUACGCAGCUAUCACUUGACUUUGUUCUUAUUUCAGGGUGACAACUUCUUGGUUUCCUCCUCCUACAGCCCGCCAUGCUUAAAGGCAAAUUAAAUGAGUGCUUUCUAACAUUCUGUGACUUUCCCCUCUAUAUUUUCAAGCAGGAGCAUGGAAGAAAUAUGAAAAACUGAGUUGCAAAUAUUGAAAAAAACCCGAAAUCUGUGAUAUUAAAAAUAUUGUGUAGAAUAGCAAACAUAUUGACUUCAUAUUUGAGGACUCUCUAUUGUCAAUUCUCUCAUGAAAAGAUAUAAGGAAGGUCUAAGAUCCCUGUUACAAAUUCUGAUAGAUAUUCUGAGAGCUCAAAAUGCUGGAAUAAACCACCUGAUCUAGUGGUUUUGUCAGUAGAAAAUAAAUUAGCAUUAGAUAGGCUUAAUUAUUAUUCUCAUUUUCGUACACCCAUAUUAAGUCAGGGACAAAGGUUGCAGAGUGCCUGAGGGGAAGUGCUAUUUCUCACGCACCGAGGUGGCAAGAGUUUUUCGGGCUCGAUAGUGUCUUUUGGUCUUUACACUAUACUCACAGUGUAAAAAAGACUCAAUGAACUUCCAACAACCAUGACUAGCUGUGUGUAUGCACCGCUCUUCUAGGCGAUACCUAAAGAUCCGGCUCAGAGGCUACGCCCAAAGCAGAGGUCCCAGGAGCGCAUCUGAGCUCUUGAGGACAGGCGGGAACGCCCAUCGUGUCCUGGUUCCCCUGUCAGGGUGAAACCAAGAUGCACAUCGGCCUUCUGCUGAAGGCCUUUCUCAGAAGGUAGAUGGACACAGUGGACAGGUCCUCAGUUUGGAUACCUGGGACACACCACAGUACUUACAUGCUGCUUAGUUUAGCUCUCACCACUGAAAUAUGCAAGAGGAUUUACAUCCUCCUCCACUGUAAAAGAAAAUGAUAGAAACUAAACGUACUAAAUGUAACUCAUGAGGAAUAUAAAAACACCAAGAGUGCUAUAGUUUCAAAAGAGGGCAUGAAUAUUUGGACUCAUCAGAUUAAGUAGAAGCUGAAGUAACGUAAGGAAAAAGCCAUUUUUGAUGACUUGGCCACAACACUCCUAUCUCUGACUGUACAACUAUGACUAGAUCAUGUUUUCUGUGAACACUUAAUUGCUUUGAGGCACAUUGACAAUGGUGUAAAUUUGUAAUGGAAAAGAACAUGCAAGGAAAUGGUCCCUUAGUGAUGUUGCACAGCAGCAGGGCUCUGUCUCAGCAUUUGCACUGACUGGCCCCGCUACAUCAUUCUCAUGGGGCUCUGAAAACACUGAAGAAGGGCAAGAAAUAAAACCAUUAUUCUGUCAGCUGGACACUGGCCUACAGAGCCAUCUGAACAUACCAUGGGAAGCGUGCUGAGUUCCCCAGAGGGCUGUAUGUCCCACUGCUCGAAAAUCACAAGUACGCCCAGGCUGCAGGUUGUGUCUGCGUUGGAGAGCUGAGCCUCCAGAAAACAGCAAUGGGAUUGUGCUGACAAUACGUACAACAUUGCCCACACACCGGAUUUUGACUGCCUGAAAGAAGGAUCAUAGAGAAAUCUCAGCUGAAAUGAGCUAGUGAUGAGGGACCGCAACUCAAAGUACAGACAGCUGUUAAAAUUGUGCACAGAAGUUAUCCUUGGCUCUUGAACAGUAGCAUACAGGAAUGUCACCACAGGGGAGCUGGUGAACCAGCACUGUACGCCAGAGGUAUUCUGCCAGUCCUUCCCAUUCUGUUUGUGUGUCUACUGAUAGCAACUGUUAGACAGGAAUAUAUAGCGGUAAAUCACUCCUCAGGAUUAACAGAAAUGGUUGAGCAAGCACUUGCGCAUCAUACAUCCUGCAGGACUCUUCCUGCUAAGUUUGACCAGAGAAGGAAAGCCUCAUUUCUUUACCAAAUUCAGAUCAGUUUAAUGAGACUGUUAGCGAGUCAAGAAAUAAGACACACUGGUACCCGCGAGGAAAUGAAGCCACAAGUGACUUCUUGGACUGCCAUCUAGCGGUGGCUACCUGGGGAGAGUUCUGCUCACCAUGUUUUAAUCGUGUUUAAAAGGAGAAUGACUGAAAGAUUCAUACUUCUGAGAACUGGUUAAGCACCGUUUUCCUUAUUAGCAAAACAUUAACCAUCAGAGACUUCAAUAUGAUAAUUCUCAUUGCAAAAGUAUUUUCCUGUGCUCAAAAACCCCAACAGUUACUAGAACAAUAUAAUUAUACCGUGAUAAAAGUAUUUACGACAGUUGCACCUUCCAUGGUAACGGUGUAUUGAGGUUCGCAGACAACGUGAAGACACCCAGAUUUGUUCCACGGAUAAGUUGUUCGGAGGCUGCUUCGUUAUUCAGCACUUACUGGCUCAGGCUACCGCUUCCGAAGUGCUCAUUUGUCCACAUGUCCAUGUCAAACGUUUAAAAUCCUUACCGACUAACUCAAAUCAAAACAUGGUGGUUUCAAACAUACUCUAACCAAGAAAAACUGCAUUAACCAGUUCACGCAUUUUGCUCCCCACACUACCAGCUCACUCUCACAGAAGAUACAGCCUUCGUCCUUAUCUCAUGCAUACACCUUACAAAGCGAUCAGCAGUUUCAGCAGUUUCUUACCUAGCUGUGAUGCAUCUGAUUUUCACUUCCAAAACGAUGCUCUCAGAAAUUCUUAGACAACGUCAGAUUUAAUACUGAGAUUACAUGGGGAAAGCUUGAGGAAAUGCAUAUACUCCACUUCUGCUCAUACUAAAAUGACUGAUGGCAACAAAACGAAAGGCAGGAGAUAGCAAAUAAAUAACAAAAACCAGAUACUUUAAUAUAAGUGGCUGGGUAUGGCUUGGACAAUGAUAGACAAAACCAAACUGACCUUUUAACAAAGUUAAUAUUUACCCAUUUAAGCAGCUGGCAAUAUGAGAGAUUCAUCUCUUUGGGAUGCAGAAGUUUCCCCUUAUUUCAGGAGAGAUUGAUCACAAGCCAUCAAGAGUUUAGUUGAUUUUUGAAGAGUCACUUCCUGCAACUUGUUUCAGCUAGCAAGUAAUGUGACACAUACUUGCAAGAUGUUCUAUAGUAUUUGAGAAGCUUGAAGUUGCAAAAAUCUUUUUUAAAGUGUCCCAAAAACACCUGUCAUAAUUAAAAUUGUCCUGAUUUUUUAAUAUCCAAAAUAUACUGUAGCCAAUAAGAGUUUAAUCAGUAACCAGACAACUCAAAGGCAUCUAAACCUUGCUUACACUCAGGAAGCAGUUUAAGCUGCAUGAAACUUGUAUAAAUCCAUAAUUCACUACAGUGACGGCAAGUUUCGCCCUCUAUAUGCAAUGAGGAGACCAUCAAAUUUAACUAAUUCACUGAAACAAAUUUUAGAAAAUAAUUUUAGAAAUGUGUGGUUUUUACAUAUGAAUGCUAAAAAAGACAUAGAACUGUAACUAAGCAGCUUCUAUUUACUAUUAAUCUUAAGAUGUAUUCUUUUUGUUGGUUUGAGCAAACAGAUAUUUGUUCCUCCAGCACAAGACCACUAUUCCCUAGCAUUUCACUACACAUUUUUUGCAUCCCUUAGUACUGAUUAACAUGACCUCUGUGCUGCUCAUGCUUUCAGAUUCCAUCUUGUUAAUAAGUAACGCAAGAUCAGGAGGCACACUGCCACAGAAGUAAAUGGAGUGCGGCUUAGCGCAGAUCGCCUGCACCACCGAAGCCACGUUUGCCUCAGUACAUUAGAGAUGUGCCUCAGCACUACAAAGCCUGCUACUAGGUUCACAAUGACAGGUAUCUGCACUGAGGCAGAGGAAUGGGGCUGCUGUUCAAAAGCUCGUCAGCAAAAGUAAAGUGGCAGGGGUCGGAAGAAAAACAAAAAAAAGAUAAGGUGGUAUGGCGGGGCUGACAAAAAAACUCAUUUCUCUACUGGGAGGGAUGAAUUAGUGGUUUUCACAGCAAGUACCCACUUCAUUCCUACUUAACAUAUUAGCAAGGUCAUUUUCUGUUCCUACAAUAGAUCAAAAGACAUGGGUUUAUAUCAACAGCUGAAUCGGACUCUGAAGUACUCUAAAAUUUGCAGGUAGCAACAGUGAGCUGAAUAUCUACUUCAAACAUUUUGUGAUCAAUGUUUUAAGAACUAGACCAAUACAAGCACAUUUUUAAUAUAGAAACCAUUUUCUUCAUCAUUACUUAACCUGAAAUCUAGUCACUGCAAGGAGUUUGCUUCUGCAACACGUUUGCACACUUUGUACUCUUGGAACUGUAGAUGCUUGAUAAAGUCUUUGACUUUAUGAUCACAUGCCCCUUGCAUUUACUAUGAAUUUAUUACGACUAGAGGUAACCAUUACCAUGUCAGACUUAGGAAGCGUUCUGUAGGUAGCAAUUAUCCUUUAGAGAUCAAUUAUGAUCCCAGUUUAAGACUGCAAGUCAAUUCCUAGGCAAGACAGUGUACAAACAGGCAUGGCUAACAGGACCAGGAAAUAAAGGACUUAAGAAAAAAAAGGAAAAAAAAAAAAAAAAAAAAGCAGCAGUCAUUGUCCCCCCUCCACCCCAGGCAGUACCACAGCCCCUGGUACCACCAGCCACGGUGGGUUUAGUCCAGGGACUGGCACAGCUACUGUCAUGAAGCCAGAGCAGGGCCACCGGAGAACUGGCAUGAUCUCUACAAAGCUGCCUCUCCAACAGGCCUUUUGAAAGUAAUUCUGUAAGGCCACAUGAUUUUGAUUUAAAAUCUGUGCUUACCCGCAACGUUAAGAGUUACUGUGAGAACUGAACAGUGCAGGCCACUACGAUUCAGUGGCCCAGCCUGGGAAAGGGCACGGCCUCUUCAAGGUGAGCUUUAUUAAACAUUAAAACAGUGUUUCUCAACAAGCUGAACGAGAGUUAAGCUAAUCUGUAGACCAUGUAAAUUUCCACAGAAAGCGUGGAGUACAGCUUGCUAACAGUUUGCCUGCAGGACUUCUGGAGUCAGUUUUCUCUCUGCACUCAAGUUCUCCAAAUUCUGUUCCAUUUUGUUCCAUUGAUGGUACACAUUUCCUCUAGGAUUUAGGAAGGUUAUGAACACUGGCAGAGCCCUGAGAAUGAAUUAAGCAUUUUUAUUUAACCUGAGGCCUUUAAUCGCCAUUUUUAGUAUAACCUAUUAAGGCUUAGUUUAACUUUGUACUUCUAAACACUAAUACACUAACUCUCCUGCAUUUUUUUCAACAGCAAAACUCAUUUCAGCAUGACACAGUGCUAUCACUCUCAGUAAUGUCAAGUCCACAACCAAGCACACCCACCUCUUCUGAGCUGUUCACAGACGAUGCUCAUUACUGCAAAACUGCCAUGAAGUAGAAAUGUAUUCAGUUAUAAUAAGUGCAAGAAAGUGAGACACCAAAAUUCCAACAUCUGUAAUAAGGGGAGCUGGUUUGGGUUGUUUUGGGUUUGGUUUGUGUUUGGUUUUUGUCAAAAGAAGCAGGUACUAGCUUGUGCAAUAAUAAGGACAGGCAUUUGAUAUUGCUGUUUAUUUCUUUUUAAAAAUUAGACAAUUCUCAAUGUAUUAUUCCAGCAACAUGCUACUGCGCACUCUAUACAUUCCCUUCUUCAGAAUAAUUCUAACUAGAUCUUGGCAGGGAUAAACCAAGUAAGAAUUACUGACUUUAAUAGUACAAAUCAGAAUUAAACCAGCCGAGAACUCCUCCCCUGAAUCUGACACAAUAUUUGUGUGAAAUUGGACUACUCAUAUUUAACACUGUGUUGUCUCAAAUACCUCUUGAAAUAUGAAUAUUUUGUUUCUCUAUUAGAAACAACUGUGUGUAUAAAUUUUCAUCUUAUUCAGAAUAAUAAGAUCAAAAUUUCCAUGGGCAUUAAAGGGAAUUUCAACUAGGGUUUCAUAAGGCAGGCUUUAAAAUAGUGCCUGAACCAGUUCUUCCACAGAGUUCUUGAUUAAAAUUCUACAUAUUUUCAAUAACUAUUUUCAGCAGUGUAAAUUCUGUGUCCUCCAAAAAGUUUUAAUGAAAACCAUUUAAUUAAAGCUAGUUUGACAGCCUGAAUAUGCAAAGUCAAACUGCAGGAUACUAAAUAGGUUUUGAGAUUUGUCUGCCUAUCUACCAAAAAAAAACUUCCCUCAAACAUCCCAUGGAGCAGAAACAAUUGUGGUAACAAAAGAUUUUCAGUUGUCAGAUUCAAGGUCGCUAGUUAAAUUAUUCAGUCAUUUUUACUUCUAGCAAAAACAACCUCUUACAGGCAUGUAUGGGUUUGUAUGUUGUUUCCUAAAUGGUUUAGAAGCACACUCUUGUAUUCUCUAUUUUACAGCGUUGUGCUUUUUUAUUUAUUCAUCUGUACCAGUUUUUAGCUGAAAAUUAUUGUUCAAUUUUUACAAAUCACCCAUGAUUUAAACUGUAUAAUUACAUUUCAUGUAAUCUCACAAUUUCAUUGGGUAAUUAAAUGAUUCUCUACAGCUUUUUUAUCAAAAAAAAGCAAUAUACAAUUAAUGAAUCCUCAUAGGAUUUCUCCCCCCCCCCCGGCAUUGAUGUUACAUAUUUAAAUACACUAGACCAAAUCCUUGGGCACGUCUGACGAGUUGUGCAGCAACCGGACAUGCGCGCAAAAUGCUUCAAAGCUCACCCUUCACAAAGGGCUGGGUUCUAUUGCAGGGCUGUAUCCUCAUCACAGAGAGAGGGGCAAAAAAGUGGCAAUGUCUCAGUUACAUCAGCUGUACAGCUACAGCGGACCUUCCUGCAGAAGGAAAGCUCAGUAGUUUGCCCUCUUACUUCAAUUCUCCAGCAUUUACUGUGGUAUUUUAGGAGUGCAUAUGGAAGGGGUAUAUGGGACUCUAUAGCACCAGAGGAUUAUUAAAAUCCUCUCUGGGCAAAUUACACUGAAUUUAGGGCCAGUUUAGAGCUGGUAUUUUAAUCUUUAGUAGCUAUACUAUUCUAGAGGGUCUAGCCCAUAUCAUCAUAGUGCAAAUGCAGCCUCCUGUAUAGAUACCUUCUGGUAAUAAUAAAACAACAUAACCUUAACAAACAGAGGUACAGUUUGUUAAUGAGGCAUGGUACAUUUUACUCAGUUAUGCACCCAGGCACCUUCUUUCAUUGCUGAGCCAUCCACUUUUCAGAAAACAUUUAAAAAAUAACAU